GAUGAACGCUGGCGGCGUGCCUAAUACAUGCAAGUCGAGCGAACAGAUAAGGAGCUUGCUCCUUUGACGUUAGCGGCGGACGGGUGAGUAACACGUGGGUAACCUACCUAUAAGACUGGGAUAACUUCGGGAAACCGGAGCUAAUACCGGAUAACAUUUGGAACCGCAUGGUUCUAAAGUGAAAGAUGGUUUUGCUAUCACUUAUAGAUGGACCCGCGCCGUAUUAGCUAGUUGGUAAGGUAACGGCUUACCAAGGCGACGAUACGUAGCCGUCCUGAGAGGGUGAUCGGCCACACUGGAACUGAGACACGGUCCAGACUCCUACGGGAGGCAGCAGUAGGGAAUCUUCCGCAAUGGGCGAAAGCCUGACGGAGCAACGCCGCGUGAGUGAUGAAGGGUUUCGGAUCGUAAAACUCUGUUAUUAGGGAAGAACAAAUGUGUAAGUAACUGUGCACGUCUUGACGGUACCUAAUCAGAAAGCCACGGCUAACUACGUG
rnacentral:rRNA from 1 species